GCGUUUCUGCCCUGUUCGAUAAAGCAUGAUAAUUUAAUCCAACACUUUUUUAAAGGGGAUCGGACUCCGAGAGAGGAUUGCAGACCUCCCGCCUGCGGCGGACGAAGGGAGCGUGAGGCUCUCGGGAGAUUACCCACCUGCUUUGUGCGGGUUCUAUCUUUCAUGCGGCGGCAGGGCGGAUUUUUA
rnacentral:other from 1 species